CCUACGGGAGGCAGCAGUGAGGAAUAUUGGUCAAUGGGCGGGAGCCUGAACCAGCCAAGUCGCGUGAGGGAAGAAGGUACUGAGUAUUGUAAACCUCUUUUGCCAGGGGACAAAGGCGGCCACGGGUGGCCGUAAGAGGGUACCUGGAGAAAAAGCAUCGGCUAACUCCGUGCCAGCAGCCGCGGUAAUACGUAGGGGGCAAGCGUUAUCCGGAUUUACUGGGUGUAAAGGGAGCGUAGACGGUUACGCAAGUCUGGAGUGAAAGGCGGGGGCCCAACCCCCGGACUGCUUUGGAAACUGUAUAA
rnacentral:rRNA from 1 species